UGAAAUCAGUAUUUAAACAGCUCGCCGCGAAAGUGACUUCUGUUUUUGUCGCGUGCAAAUCCUUCAGUUUUUUUAAAUUUUCUUUAAAUUGAGCAAACACUCAAAAUCAACAUUUGCACCAAUUAUAGUCCUAGGCAAGAGCUAUAAGUUAACAUUUAUAAAAAAAAAAAAAUGAAAUGUACAAUACUUUUUUUAUUAUUUGAAUGCGUACAAAUGUCGAAAUAUGUUGACAUGUGGGGUGGAUGGCCACCCAAAACGUGCGACUGGUUCCCGCCACAUUACUUUGAGCCCAUAUGUGCUGGCCAAUAUUGUCAGCAACACGAGGUUUGUAGGACUGAAAGACCGGGCGAGCCAAUAUUUUCAUAUGUUGGGAAGGGAAGAUGUCCCCCCGGGAAAGCGUGCCCGCCGCCAACCAAAAAAGCUGUUACGAAAAAACAACCGAAAAUAAAUAAAAUAAAAACUACAAAAAAACCAUAAAAA